rnacentral:snoRNA from 1 species
UAGGCCGAAUUUGGGGUGUUACAAUAACUCUUUGAAUUGCUCCCAUGCCGCAUAUAAAGAUUCUUCAUCAAGUUGCUGAAAUGAAGUGAUUUCAUUUCGGAUCCU